GAGCCAGCUAUCGCCUGGCGCUGGCCUCUACUCUGGGCGCAGGUCCUCCCUCGCACCGGCCUUUCUCAGCCCAGCUCACUUGUGAUGGACUCUCACGGGCCAGCUCCUGUCCCCCGGCGGCCUGUCAGAGCCUGAAGGUUUCUCUCUGAGCCCAGCCUCCCCACACGGGGCUCCUGCCUGUGCUAGGCCCUCGGGCCCAGCCUCUGCCUCUCAGAGGACCCUUCAGACUCCACUUCUGCCUUUGUGGCAGCCUGUUUCCACGGGCCCAGACCCCUGCCUCUUCAUGGCCCCCUGGGGCCAAGCCAGUGCCUCCCAGGGGGCCCUGCCGGGCCCAGCGUUGGCCUUCUGGCAUCCUCUUCGUGUCCAGAACAUCUUCAGGUCGGCCUCUCUGGGCCCAGCGCCUCCUCUCAGCAGCAUCUACAGGCCCAACAUGCGAAUUUUUCUUGCAGCAACCUGUGUGGACUUGGCUCCUGCACAGCUCCCGAUGGCCUUUGUAGGCCCAAAAGCUCAGACUACCGACUCAGGCUCUCCAGGCCCACCCGGCUCAUGCCUCAUUAGUGGCCUCUCUGAGCUCAGCUCCUGCCCUCCCAGGGCAUCUCCAGGCCCCAGACAUUCCCAAGUCGGCUUCUGCCAGCCCGGCUCCUGUUGCCUCCUCCUGCUGGCCAUGGGAUGCCCAGUAUUAGGUCCUGAAUUCAGCCUCUCUAGGCCCAGCUCCUGCCCUCCUGGCGUCUCCUCCUCAUGGGCGCAAAACUUCAUCAGGUCUUCCUUUCGUACACACUGGCGUCUCCAAGACCAUCUGCUUAGUCAUGUCUGCCUCUGAAGAUGCAACUCCUGUUUUGCCGUGGACAUUUUCACCUCAGUUCCUGCCUCACGAUGGCCUCUUCGGGCUCUUCUCCUGCCUCUUAAGGGACACUCACGUCUCAUCUCCUCUCAUGGUGGCUUUUUCUGCAGUGCACGUGCGUUAUAAUGGCCUCUUGUCGAUCCAGCUCUAUAUGUCUUUGAUUUUCAACUGCAUCUAGAAUCCCAAAGCUUCCCUGCACUCUCGUGUUUAGUUUCUCGCAGUGUGCCUUGGCUAAAUGCCUAUGUCUACUUUUAAUCUUGAAAGUGUAUUUCUGACCGAUUUGUAGUAAAUUCUGCCUGUUUCAUUUUACAGUGUGGUCUGUUUUAUUUAAUGUCUCAUUGUUUUUCUUGUCUUCUGGGAGUUCAGAGCAGAUUAAGCCUCUGCUUUGUCAGUCUGUCUUUGCCCUGGAUAUGGUAGCUGCUCAUUUCAGGUCUUGUUUUUUAUAUUUUUUCCUGUUAACUUUUUAUCCUCAUGCUCUGUCACCCAGGCUUGGGUGUCAUCAUGUGAUCAUGUCUCCACUGCAGCCUUGGCCUUUUGGCCUCCACUGAUUUUCCCCAGUCACCAUCUUCAGUAGCUGGGACUACAGGCAGACGUUGCCAUUUCUAACUAGUUUCUGGUUUGGUUUGAGAAGUUGGUUCUCUGUUGCUCAGGCUGGUCUUUUUUUUUUUGAGAUGGAGUCUCACUCAGUUGCCCAGUCUAGAGUUCAGUGGCAGGAUCUCAGCUCACUGCAGCCUUGGCCUCCUGGGUUCAAGUGAUUCUCCUACCUCAGCCUCCUGAGUAGCUGGGAUGAUAGGUGCGUGCCACCAAGACUGGCUAAUUUUUGUUGUAUCGGGCCGAGCAUAGAAAGUCAACACCAAGACAAAAGUAUGCCAAAUUGCAGGGUUUAUUGCCGGCGACCACAGAGGACUCACGUCUGUCCAGCCCGUGGCAGAGAAAGACGGCUGACAAGAUUUUUUUAUACCCGCAAAACCACCUUGGGAGUGGAGGUGAGGAGUGGGGAUGGGAUUAAAGUCUUCAGACAUUUCAGGGGCUGUAAAUCACCUCGUGGGCAGAGCGGAGGGUGAUGGGGCUCUGGACAGUCCAAGGGCCAGGCGACUUUUGUCAUUCCAGUUGCCACUUAAGUGGUUUACAGAAGUCAAGAUAAACAUUAGUUUAACAUUAUUUGGGCAGGUGUGGGGUCCACAGAUUUUUUAGUUACUUUGCAUCAGGAUGGAAUUAUCUGGGGGUGCUUCCUCUGGUCAUUACCGGUAAACAAAGGCCACCAAUUCUGGCAGUUACAGAUAAGAGAAGGUAUGCAGCUCUACGUCUUUGCAUUCUGCAAAGUAAAUUAGCAGUUUACAGAGGCCAAGGUUAGCAGGUAUUGUGAGGAGAAUGGAAACAGUUUUGUCUUUUAUAAAACGGCAGUGUACAGGUUCUAACUCUAGGCCAGCCAUAUCACAUUGUAUUAUUAAUAUAGAUGGG
rnacentral:lncRNA from 1 species